rnacentral:tRNA from 1 species
CGAUAAAUGGACCAAUGGCCUUCUAAGCCAUCGGUCGGGGGUUCGAAUCCCUCCCGGAAUGCCA